rnacentral:rRNA from 1 species
GAUGAACGCUGGCGGCGUGCUUAACACAUGCAAGUCGAACGAAGCACUCUAUUUGAUUUUUUUCGGAAAUGAAGAUUUUGUGACUGAGUGGCGGACGGGUGAGUAACGCGUGGGUAACCUGCCUCAUACAGGGGGAUAACAGCUGGAAACGACUGCUAAUACCGCAUAAGCGCACGGUAUCGCCUGGUACAGUGUGAAAAACUCCGGUGGUAUGAGAUGGGACCGCGUCUGAUUAGCUAGUUGGUGGGGCAACGGCCUACCAAGGCGACGAUCAGUAGCCGACCUGAGAGGGUGACCGGCCACAUUGGGACUGAGACACGGCCCAAACUCCUACGGGAGGCAGCAGUGGGGAAUAUUGCACAAUGGGGGAAACCCUGAUGCAGCGACGCCGCGUGAACGAAGAAGUAUUUCGGUAUGUAAAGUUCUAUCAGCAGGGAAGAUAAUGACGGUACCUGACUAAGAAGCACCGGCUAAAUACGUGCCAGCCGCCGCGGUAA